GGGACAUCAGAUAUUCUCUGAACCAGGAAUCACAGAUGCAUUUUGUCUUGUGUGAUGACUCUGCUCAGUUGGUAUUGGUAGCCUGGAAAAUUCAGUGUUGUGAAGGAUUCUGAGGUCCUAUCUAGGCCCAGCGAGGAAGAUUAAGAUGAUGUCUUCUGUAGGUAAAGUCCUGGAGAUGGGUGAUAGGCAUUCUGUGGGUUGUACUGAAUCCAACUUGAGCUGGGCUGCUUUGUGCUUUGGCUCUGGUCUGUCUCAUUACAGAGAGUUAUGUCAUAUUGUAGCCACACUUGGAAUGUGGCUUUGCCUACCUUGUUCCUCUCAUUCUGACCGUCAGGGUGAUAAUGAUGGUUGAGGAGUGGAUGGACAUGGUUGAGUCUAUGUGGCUGUCACCACUCGCUAAACAACUCUCGGUUCUGAAGAGUCACCUGCAGCUUGCUUGACUGGAUUUUCUCCUCUCUGCAAUGACCAAGUUCUUUGGAACAUCUGGUCAUUGUGGCUGGUGUUUAUUCUACUUGUGCCACUGCUAAGUAAGGCCUGAUUUAGGGCAAGGAAAUAGAGUCCAUAUGUAUCCCUCCUUAGCUCAGUUUCUUUUUUAGGGACUCCAAUCAAUUUAUCAAUAUAUUUAAUUAAUUUAUUUGUCAUUUGAAGACUUUUAUUUUUUCUAUUAUAGUUUAUUUACAGUGUUCUAUUUCUGCUGUAUAGCAAAGUAACCCAGUCACACACACACACACACAUUUUUUUUUCUCACAUUUUCCUCCAUCAUGUUCCAUCACAAGUGACUAGAUAUAGUUCCCUGUGCUAUACAGCAGGAUCUCAUUGCUUAUCCACUCCAGAUGCAAUAGUUUUCAUCUACUAACCCCAAACUCCCAUCCAUCCCACUUCCUCCCCCUUGGCAGCAACAAGUCUAUUCUCCAAGUCCAUGAGUUUCUUUUCUGCAGAUAGGUUCAUUUGUGCCAUAUAUUAGAUUCCAGAUAUGUGAUAUCAUAUGGUGUUUGUCUUUCUCUUUCUGAUUUACUUCCCUUAGUAUGAGGAUAUAGCCAUUCACAGUAAAAACAGCCACAGAAACAAAACUUUGCUGAUUUGAUAGCAGGAAAGUUGACAUCAGUCAUUUUCAUGUUUACUUUUUUGAUUUACAGUAUAGUUGGGCAUUUUCUGAUAUGUUAUUUGCCUAUAUGCAUUUAUUCUGAUCUGAGUUGCCUAUUCAUGCCCUUUGCUCAUUUUUCUAUCACAAGGAUUUUUUUCUCACUCAUUUGCAAGUAUGUUUUAUAUAAUAAUUUUAACAAUUAUUUUUAUAAUUAAAAUACGAACUUUGUGGAGGCUGCAAAAAAAUAUUUCAGUAAACAUCUUUGCACAUGAUAACGAGGGUUUGCUAUUUUUAAUCUUUGCUGUCUCUGUGGUUAUUCCACCAAAUCUUUUCUUCCUAAUUAUGUGUAUCUUGCUUAUUUUUUUCCUGAUUAAGUCCCUGGGAGUUUUAUAUCUUUGCCUUGGAUUUUUAAAAUCUAAACUCCAAACAUUUCUCCUUUUCUUUUUAUUAAUAGUUCUUUAUAUUUUUUCUCUGGUGGUUCUGUUGUUCUCUUCUAACUUCCUGAGUUGAUGCUCAACACAUUUACUUGUAUCAUUUAAAAAGCAGUAACUGUAGCAUUUAAUACUAUGAGUUGCACUUCUGAUUACAGCUUUGGGCACUUUACAUGUGAAUUUAAAACACAUAGUAUUCUCAUUAUUGUUAUUUUCCUUGUGAUUAUUGGGUUUGAUUUCCUCUUUGUUUCAAGCUCUUUGGGGGGGGGUGCCUUUACAUUUUUAAGUGGCCAAAGUUUAAAAAAGUAAUUUCUAGUUUUAUUGCCUUGUGGACAGACAAUUCAACUUUGAGCUACUGUUCAUGGCUUGACAUCUCGAGUCCAGUAGCUCAUGCAUCUGAGACAGGCCUGAGAAUGUCCCUGCUCUUUUGGAAGCUUAAGUUCUGAAUAUCCUUUGGUCUGGGAUGGAGUUGAAAAGCUCUCCACAGUGUUCCUGUGUGUAGCCCUGGUAUGGAUAAUAGUGAUGGUUGUUGAAAAGUCAAAAGUUAAAGAGGCUACUUCAGAAUCUGCUUUUUUAAUCCACCCCCCACUGUAUAUUUUAAAGCCGAAAGUUACCUGGCAAUAUCAGAGGCUAGAAUUUUCUCCUUUUCUUAGAUGAUGGUGUGAAUGAUAAUAGAACAUAAUAAUGUUCCCUCACUGCAGGGAUCUAGGAUUAGAAGCUGUUCAUGUUGCUUCAUCCAGAGAAAGUCCCGAAUAUGUUUCUUAGGAAUUUACCCUGCUUUGUGCUGGGUUCCCACUAUACCACAGAAGAACUGUUGGUCUAGUUGAUUACUUGCUACCCAUAAAGUUGAGCUUUCAGCGGGAAGGGCCUAGCCAGUGGGCUGCAACUACCUUCUUGAGUCAGUGGAAAUGCGUCUUGUUGAACCGUGGAUUUUCAUUUGAAGAAAAGAAGUGUUGCCCAUUUUAGUGUCCACUUAAAAAAAUAAAGCAAGGGAGAGAUUUUUAUUUCCAUAUGGGUUAUGUUAAGGAACGUAUGUGUGCGUGUAUGUGUGUGUGAAUGUGUGCACAUACGUAAGAAAGAGAAAUGGCCCUAUUAUGGGAAGCCUCAUUAAAGAGGCCUGGAAAAGGUUAGUCCAUUUGCAGACUAUACAUCUUAAUCUCCCCACACAGCAUACUAACCUGGGAGGAGAGAGAAUCUAUGGCCAGAGGGACCCUGGCUUCCUUCCAAGCCCCGGAUCAAGUAGACCUUGCAUUUUCCCGCUGGCUCCCCUCAUUAGCACUAUAUAUUAACUUGGAGAAACUGUUAUCCCAAGGGGCUCCAGGAAAUGGGAGGACAUGGAAGCCAGAGCAGAGUGGGGGAGACCCAGGUCUCCCCUCUGGCUGCUGCUUGUUUGCUGGCAGGUGCAUCUGGGGAUCGGGCCCCUGAAAAUUGGGGAGAGGAAGCCGGGAGGGUGCUAUAGCUUAAAGCAGUGCUGAUAGGUUGAGCGGCCUUUCACCUGUUGCUGGCUGGUUCCCAUCUGUGUUAACAGCUUCCAACUGGCUUCAUUAUUGGAGAAACCAGAGGGCUCUGGACAAGGGCCCUUAAGCCAGUUCUGCAUGCGCUCCUAGGUCCUGUCAAGGGCCCUUUCUAGGUUCCAUGUUGCAACACAGAGGAGUGGGAAUAGGCAGGCAGGAGGCCCUGGGCUGUUAUGGCUUGAUCUUUACCCAAAGUGUAACCUGUGACCAGUUACUCAUUCUUCUGAACCUCAGUUUCCCCAUAUGAAAGGGGAGUGUGUGUGUGUUGGUUGGGUAGGAAGUAGAAACACAAUUCCACCUACUUCUAAGGUAGAAGGAUUAGGGGGAGAAGGAAGAGGGGAACUUUUUUUUUGAUUUUUUUAUAUCACAUGUCAGGCUUUAGACUGGUGCUUUCAUGCAGAUGUCAGAACAUCACUCACUUCCCUUCCCAUCCUUGUCCUACGCAGUGCAGCUUCCCCUCUCCCUGAUCUCUUCUCUGUCUUCCCAUGGCACCUAGUCUGUCCUUUACCCAGACCCUUGCUCCCUAUGUAAGCCAGCAAUUCUGGCAUCACCUGGAAGCUUGUUAGAAAUUCAGACUCUCUGGCCCUGCCCUGGAUCUACUGAAUGAGGCUUUGCAGUUGAACAAGAUCCCCAGGUGACUUUUGUGCAUAAUAAGGUCAUUGUGCUGCCCAAGAGGCUCCUGUCCACUUGUGUGCAUGUGUCCGCAACAUUCAGGAUUCUUUCUUCACAGUAGCCUCUGUUCCAGGCAUUGCCAUGGACACAGGAGGCGCUGAAUGUCCCCAUUUUAAAGGUUUUGGCAUGAAAGGGACUAUGUUCUGGAUAUACAACGUUCUCUCUUUGUCACACUCUGCCAAGUCUUCUGAGUACAUUAAGAAUGGAGACUAUUUGGGCUUAGCUGUCCUUACUGCCUUAUAAAGGGAUCCUGAAUUCACAGGCAAAAGCAGACCAAAACCUGGAGUUGCCAUCAUGGCUCCGCAGAAAUGAAUCUGACUAGUAUCCAUGAGGAUGCAGGUUCAAUCCCUAGCCUUGCUCAAUGGGUUAACAAUACGGCCUUGCUGUGAGCUGUGGUAUAAGUCCCAGACAUGGCUCAGAUCCCACAUUGCUGUGGCUGUGGCAUAGGCUGGCAGCUGUAGCUCUGAUUCUACCUCUAGCCUGGGAACCUCCAUAUGCCAUGGGUGUGGCCUUAAAAAGC
rnacentral:lncRNA from 1 species